GUUAAUUUCAAUCUUAUCUCAAUUUCAGUUCGGUUCAGUUAAUAAAUUUAGAGUCGAUUAACAAUUCACUUCGGUUAACCAAAUGCUCACCCUACUAGUUGAUUCCCCAUUUUGAAACUCCCUUAUUGAAGUUUGGCCAGCCAUUGUAUUGUAGUCAUAUGAGUUGUUAGAUAAAGAUUUACCUAUUGUUAUUUUGUCUUUUUUCCUUACCGGCAUUGCCUUUAGAGAUGUAAAAGUCGGGCUCCAACCACUAGAGGAAU
rnacentral:misc_RNA from 1 species